AUUGAACGCUGGCGGCAUGCCUUACACAUGCAAGUCGAACGGUAACGCGGGGCAACCUGGCGACGAGUGGCGAACGGGUGAGUAAUGCAUCGGAACGUGCCCGGUAGUGGGGGAUAACUGCUCGAAAGAGCAGCUAAUACCGCAUACGACCUGAGGGUGAAAGGGGGGGAUCGCAAGACCUCUCGCUAUCGGAGCGGCCGAUGUCGGAUUAGCUAGUUGGUAGGGUAAGAGCCCACCAAGGCAACGAUCCGUAGCUGGUCUGAGAGGACGACCAGCCACACUGGGACUGAGACACGGCCCAGACUCCUACGGGAGGCAGCAGUGGGGAAUUUUGGACAAUGGACGCAAGUCUGAUCCAGCCAUGCCGCGUGCGGGAAGAAGGCCUUCGGGUUGUAAACCGCUUUUGUCAGGGAAGAAAUCUUCUGAGUUAAUACCUCGGGAGGAUGACGGUACCUGAAGAAUAAGCACCGGCUAACUACGUGCCAGCCGCCGCCGUAACAC
rnacentral:rRNA from 1 species